AUUGAACGCUGGCGGCAGGCCUAACACAUGCAAGUCGAGCGGCAGCGGGACCUUCGGGUUGCCGGCGAGCGGCGGACGGGUGAGUAAUGCCUAGGAAUCUGCCUGUUAGUGGGGGAUAACGCGGGGAAACUCGCGCUAAUACCGCAUACGUCCUACGGGAGAAAGCGGGGGCUCUUCGGACCUCGCGCUAACAGAUGAGCCUAGGUCGGAUUAGCUAGUUGGUGGGGUAAUGGCCCACCAAGGCGACGAUCCGUAACUGGUCUGAGAGGAUGAUCAGUCACACUGGAACUGAGACACGGUCCAGACUCCUACGGGAGGCAGCAGUGGGGAAUAUUGGACAAUGGGCGAAAGCCUGAUCCAGCCAUGCCGCGUGUGUGAAGAAGGUCUUCGGAUUGUAAAGCACUUUAAGUCGGGAGGAAGGGCUGUAGGCUAAUACCUUGCAGUUUUGACGUUACCGACAGAAUAAGCACCGGCUAACUUCGUGCCAGCCGCCGCAGUAACAC
rnacentral:rRNA from 1 species